UUCUAGAAGUAGCCUUGAUUUCUACUUCUUUGGCAAGGAGGACAUGGUCUUUGGUGAAGAUUUUUUGACAUUUCCGUUGAUGAAUCUUCACUAUGUGUUCAGCAGAGUGACCAAAUUCAGGACAAAGAACUGAACCUAAAAGCGUCCAUCAAGCAUAUUGUGACGUGUAACCUUGAAGAGGAGAAUCUAGCCCACCCGCUGGUGUUACCUCUUGCCGAUUGCGUCAUCAGUGUGGGGUUAUUGGACCUCAUCAGUAAAGAUGAGGAGGAUUACAUGAGGAACCUG